ACUGUUAAAUUAAUUCCUUCUAACUUCUAAAAAAAAAAAAAACAUUAAGUCGCUUUAAAAAAGUUACUCCAUCUUAAAGAAUAUACCGAUAUUUAUGUUCGACAAUGUAGGAAUUAUUCAACAUUUAGGAAGUACACGGUUGCCUGGGAUAAGUUUACAGGACUAAAUUAAAUUACAGAGUUUCGUUUGAAGUAUAUUUUGUGUAUUUACAAUAAUUUGAAAGCGUAUGUAUUCGUUCAUGUAAUAGAAGUUCAGGUUCAGUUAAGCAGGCUCAAAUAGUAGGAAGCCAUUUAAUCGGACGCGAAUUAAACUUUCGUUCGGAAAAAUGGAGUUCAGAUAAAUAAAGUCCUACCGUACCGAUCAUUGGUAGUUUAUACCGAUCUUCGAAUCGUCAAAAGCUUGCUCUUCGUUUAAAUCGUUCAAUUUUUAUCGAAAAUUUUCCUUACAACGUGAUUAAAUUAGCUCCUAUUCUUUUUUUCUUCUUUUGUUAUAGCAAAUCAAUCGAAUGGCUCGCCUAACUAAGGAUUCGCGUUCCAUUAUCGCGAUAUCAUUUACAAAAUGGAAUAAUCCGUUAUCAAGUUUGACAAGCGAAAGGGGCUCGAACAACGCGGCGAAUAAUGAAAACGCCGCGGGAAUUAAAUGGGAAAUUACCUG